GUAGGGGCAUGGGGGGGGGGGCAGAACCCCUCGGGGACAUCCGAGGCCAUGGGGGGGCUGUGAGAGCCAGAGGGGCCGCAGGAGCCCUUGGGUGCCACGUGAGGCCCUGGGGUGACACGUGAGCCCGCGAGGGACACGUACUCCUGUAGGGACACGUACGCAUAUAGGGACUGCGGGAGCCCGUAGGGACCGUGGGAGCCUAUAGGGACUGUGGGGGCCUAUAGGGACCACGGGAGCCUGUAGGGACUGUGGGAGCCCAUAGGGACCAUGCGCGUUCCUCUGGGCAGCGAGCGAACCCGUAAGUGACACGUGAGCCCUAUGGGGCCACGGGAACCCGCAGGGCGAGGCGAGGCCGUGGGAGACGUGAGCCCGCAGGGAGCGCGGACGGCCACCGCGGCCACGUGAGCCCGCGCGGUGACACGCGCGGACCCACGAGGGACACGUGAGCCCGGUGGGGACACGUGAGGCCCUUGGGGACACCGGAGCCUACGUGGGACCUGCGAGCUCGCGCGGGGCAGCUGAGCCCACAGGGGCUGUGGGAUCCCACAGGGGCCGUUGGAUGCCAAAGGGACCCCGUGAGCCCAUAGGGGCCCUGUAAGCCCAUCAGGGCCAUGGGACCCCACUGGGGCCCUGUGAACCCAGAGGCACCCCGUGUGCCUGCUGGGGACGCGUGGCUCCCCGUGGGACGCAGGAGCCCCAGGGAGCGCACUCGGGCACCCAGGUGGCACGAGGGGGCCUGUAGGUGGCAGGCGGUCCUGUGGGUGAGCCCGUGGGGACCCCGUGAACCCAGGGGGGCCGUGGGCGCCCACGCGCUGCCUCCCGCCCGCAGCCCACAUCGAGGUGAUCCCCUGCAAGAUCUGCGGGGACAAAUCCUCGGGGAUCCACUACGGCGUCAUCACCUGCGAGGGCUGCAAGGGCUUUUUCCGGCGCAGCCAGCAGGGCAGCCUGAGCUACGCCUGCAGCCGCCAGCAGAACUGCCCCAUCGACCGCGCCAGCCGCAACCGCUGCCAGCACUGCCGCCUGCAGAAGUGCCUGCGCCUCGGCAUGUCCCGCGACGCCGUCAAGUUCGGCCGCAUGUCCAAGAAGCAGCGGGACCGGCUGCACGCCGAGGUGCAGCAGCAGCUGGAGCAGCGGCAGCGGGAGCGGGCGGCCCAGGGGGGCGCUGCCUUCGCCCUGGGGCUGCCGGGGUGCUGCGGCCACCCCCUGCCCCCCGCCGGCACCCCGGGGUGCCCCGGGCCCUGCGAGGGAAGGGCCGGCUGCAGCCCCAGCACGGAGGCGGAGGGCGAGCGGCGGGAAGGCGCCACGCGGGACCGGGACCGGGACGGGGACGGGGACGGGGUCGGGGACGGGGACAGGGACGGCCCCGACCUGUGCCCGCGCCCCGACGUCGGCAGCGGCCUGGAGUCGCCCACGUGCUCCGGGAUGGAGAUCGGUGAGUCGCCGGGCUGGGGCUGGCACCCGUGGGUGCCACAAAGUGGUGGCACAUGUCCCUGUCGCCCGUGGGUGCUCGGUGGUGGUGGGACCUGGCACCAUCACCCAUGGGUGCCACGAACUGCUGGGAGCCGGCACCCACGGGUGCUCGGUGGCGGGGCAGCCGGCCCCGCGGGUCCCCGUGGGGGGGCUGCCCCCAGCCGUGCCCCCCCCCCACCGUCCCGGUGCCCGCAGAGCUGCUGGCCCAGGACGUGCUGCGGUCGCACCGCGAGACCUCGCAGCCGCGCGCCGAGGAGCUGCAGCAGCGCCGCUGGGACACCUUCAGCCGCGAGGAGGUCUGCGCCUACCAGAGGAAGGUGAGACCCCCCCUCCACCCCGGGGGGCGCUGGG
ensembl:lncRNA